UACGAAGGGGGCUAGCGUUGCUCGGAAUUACUGGGCGUAAAGCGCACGUAGGCGGGUCAUUAAGUCGGGGGUGAAAUCCUGGAGCUCAACUCCAGAACUGCCUUUGAUACUGAAGAUCUUGAGUUCGGGAGAGGUGAGUGGAACUGCGAGUGUAGAGGUGAAAUUCGUAGAUAUUCGCAAGAACACCAGUGGCGAAGGCGGCUCACUGGCCCGAUACUGACGCUGAGGUGCGAAAGCGUGGGGAGCAAACAGGG
rnacentral:rRNA from 1 species